rnacentral:siRNA from 1 species
UCCGUCCCGUAAAAAAAACUCACU